AGAACUCAGAGCAGCCUGGGCGCUGCUAAGGAGCUGGGAGGGGUGCCUCAUCACAACUCCUUCAGGCCUGCCUUUUGUUUACUGAAGACCUACUAUGUGCCAGUCUCUCAGCUGAACACUUUAUGCCCAAGGAUCAGCCAUGGGAAGAGUUAGACAGUUCCAGACAAAACCAAGCGUGACUGCUUCGGAGGAGCAUGGGGGUGAGACAAACCUACUAUUUUAAGGCAGCUACAGGAGCU